rnacentral:lncRNA from 1 species
UUUUAUACGCCCGUCAAAAUUUUGACGGGACUUAUUAUAGUAUACAAAUGUCCGAUGUCUGUCCGUCUGUCCCUCUGUCUGUCCGGCGUAAACAUGUCGCACCGUAACUUGAGAACGACUUAUCCAAAUUUCAUGAAACUUAACAUAGUUGUUUCUUAUGAUGGUCAAAUGAUCUGUAUACUUUUUGGUGAAAAUAAAAUUAAAACUUUUUGAGUUACGGCACUUUGUAACUAAA